rnacentral:rRNA from 1 species
CCCAGACUCCUACGGGAGGCAGCAGUGGGGGAUAUUGCACAAUGGGGGAAACCCUGAUGCAGCAACGCCGCGUGAGUGAAGAGGUCAUUCGUGAUGUAAAGCUCUAUCAGCAGGGAAGAAAAUGACGGUUCCUGAGUAAGAAGCCCCGGCUAACUACGUGCCAGCAGCCGCGGUAAUACGUAGGGGGCAAGCGUUAUCCGGAUUUACUGGGUGUAAAGGGAGCGUAGACGGCAGUGCAAGUCUGGAGUGAAAGGCGGGGGCUCAACCCCCGGACUGCUCUGGAAACUGUACGGCUGGAGUGCAGGAGAGGUAAGUGGAAUUCCUAGUGUAGCGGUGAAAUGCGUAGAUAUAAGGAAGAACACCAGUGGCGAAGGCGGAUGACUGGACGGCAACUGACGGUGAGGCGCGAAAGCGUGGGGAGCAAACAGGAUUAGAUCCCCGCGUA